GCGGCCCCCAGUCCUUCCUCGGGCGCCUCCGGAGUCUCCUGCGCUUGCUUGGCGUUCAUGAGCAGGUUGUAGAGGAUGCUGCCCUGCCGCGGGUGGUCUUCCCCGCAAAAGCAGCAGCGGUACAGGAGCACCGCGGCCGGGGCAGCGGGCAGCCUCUCNNNNNNNNNNNNNNNNNNNNNNNNNNNNNNNNNNNNNNNNNNNNNNNNNNNNNNNNNNNNNNNNNNNNNNNNNNNNNNNNNNNNNNNNNNNNNNNNNNNNNNNNNNNNNNGGCCCCCCCCCGCCAUGGCCCGCGGUGCCCGCAGCCUGGCUCUGUCCAGUGGCCGCCGCCUGCGAUCUAUUUAUACUGAGCGCGCACGCACGCGCAUCGGCCGUCUCCGCCCGGGCAAAGGCGCGGAGCGGGGCGCGGCGCUGGGUGUGUUCGCUUGUGACCUCGGCGGUUCAGAGGGGACAGAUGCACCUCACAGGCUAAAAAUGGAAGAGGAGAGGAGGCGUGGGCGCUCCUGGACACUUCCCCCCUUCGUCUCACUACACUUCACUUCCCCCCGUCGCCACUCAACUCGCUUCCCCGCCUCUGGAAGACAGCUGAGCGCAGGGAGCAGGACCCAAAAUGUUGAAAGCUCUCUUGAUGGAAGAAUUAAUAGGCUCUAGUUGCUGACUCAUGAAACCCCUAAAGAAGAUCAAGUCAUCAUUAUUUAUUUCCUUCAGAUGAGCUACGAAGAAGGUAAUCUGUUGCCUGAGGGGUCACAUGGUUGCUGAGCUAGAAUAAUGACUCAUUUGCUCACGGUAAUUCUGGAAUGUUCUAAAAUCAGCUUUCUAAAUCAUUCAAACAGCCAUUCUGUGCAAGGUAAAAAACAUUCCUCAAAUCAAUUUAUUUUACUGCAUCUACCAAUUUUGAAGAAAUCCCAAUAGGGGAUGUUGAUCAAGUGAUCCAGUUAAUAAAUUCAGUUGACUAGCAGCUUUCAAGAUGAUUCCCCCGUUGGUUAGCAAGCUAUUAAAAUUGAUUUCACUGGCAGGUUGGAAAAUCAUUACUCUGUUGGUCCACACAGCUAUGUCCCCAAUGCUGAUGGUAGUUUUAGUUACAGCCUCCCCCUAUACUGGGGUCUGGAACUGGAGUAAUACCUUUCUCCCUGGAAAUAGCUUUGUUUUCUCCUGCAACUUUUCCUAACAACUUCUUCCCACAACCCUUAUAUGUAGAGUGCCUUGUACAUUCCCUGGCAUAUUAAAGGCACUCAACAAACACCCACUUAAUGAAACAGUGAAGUUUCUUCACAACUGCACAUCUUUUAACUUCAUUGGAUUGCCCAACCUUUUCUUCCUUCCCAUCACUAUAUAGGUUUCAACAACCUUGCCAGCCCUGGUAGAAAGGCCCUGGUCCAUUUUGCCAAAUACUAGCUACCUGUUUUAUUUUUUUAAUUUUGUGGGAGUAUAGUUGAUUUACAGUGUUGUGUUAAUUUCAGGGGCACAGCAUAGUAAUUCAGUUACACAUAUAUUAAUUUUUUUCAGAUUGUUUUCCGAUCUAAGUCAUUACAGAAUAUUGAGUAGAGUUGCCUGUGCUAUAAAGUAGGUCCUUGUUGAUUAUUUUAUAUAUAGCAGUGUAUGUAUGUUAAUCCUUAGCUCUUAUCCUUCUCCUCUUAUCCCUUCUCCCAAAUCACAUUUCCCCUUUGGUAACCAUCAGUUUAUUUCCAAAUCUGUGAGUCUGUUUCUGUUUUGAAGAUAAGUUCAUUUGUCUCAUUAAAAAAACAAAAAAACACUAGAUUCUACACAUGAGUGAUAUCAUAUGAUAUUUUGUCUUUGACUUACUUUACUUAGUAUGACAAUCUCUAGGUCAAUCUAUGUUGCCACAAAUGGCAUUAUUUCAUUCUUUUUUGUGACUGGGUAGUAGUCCAUUGUGUUUCUGUUCCACAUGUUCUUUAAUCUUUCCUCUGUUGAUGGACAUCUAGGUUAUAUUCAUGUCUUGGCCAUUGUAAAUAGUGCUGCAGUGAACAUUGGGGUGCAUUAUCUUUUUGAGUUAUAGUUUUCUCCAGAUAUGUGCCCAGGAGUAGGAUUGUUGGGUCAUAUAGUAGUACUAGUUUUAGUUUCUUAAGGAACCUCUGUACUGUUCUCCAUAAUGGUUGUACCAACUUAUAUUCCCACCAGCAGUGUAGGAGGGUUCCCUUAUUCCAUACCCUCUCCAACUUUGAUGAUGAUUAUUCUGACUGGUGUGAAGUGAUACCUCAAUAUAGUUUUGAUUUGCAUUUCUCUAAUAGUUAGCAGUGUUGAGCAUCUUUUCAUGUGCCUCUUGGCCAUCUUUGUGUCUUCUUUGGAGAAAUGACUAUUUAGAUCUUCUGCCCAUUUUUUGAUUGGGUUGUUUUUCUUAACAUAGAGCUGCAUGAGCUGUUUGUAUAUUUUGAAGGUGAAUCCCUGGUCAGUUGCUUCAGUUGCAAAUAUUGUCUCCCAUUCUGUGGGUUGUCUUUUUAUUUUGUUUCUGGUUUCCUUUCCUAUGCAAAUGCUUUUAAAUUUAGUUUGGUCCCACAUGUUUAUUUUUGUUUUUAUUUUCAUUACUCUAGGAGGUGGAUCAAAAAAGAUUUAUGUUAGAGAGUGUUCUGCCUAUGUUUUCCUCUAAGAGUUUUUUAGUAUCUAGCCUUACAUUUAGAUCUUUGAUAUGUUUAGAGUUUUCUUGGUGUGUAUGGUAUUAGAGAAUGUUCUGAUUUUAUCCUUUUACAUGUAGUUGUCCAGUUUUCCAAGCAUGUCUUAUUGAAAAGUGUUUUCUCCAUUGUGUAUUCUUGCCUCCUUUGUCAUAGAUUAAUUGACCAUAAAUGCAUGAGUUUAUUUCUGGGCUUUCUGUCCUGUUAUGUUGAUUUAUAUUUCUGUCAUUGUGCCAGCACCAUACUGUUUUGGCCAUUGUAGCUUUUUAGAAUAAUCUGAAAUCAGGGAGCCUGAUUCCUCCAACUGUUUUUCUUUCUUGGGAUUGCUUUGGCUUUUAGGGGUCUUUUGUGUUUUCAUACAAAUUAAAAAAUGUUUUGUUCUAGUUCUGUGAAAAAUGCCAUUGGUAAAUAGUUACCUGUUGUAACCACUCUGAUUUCUAACUUGAUAAUCUCAAAAAUUAUAAUAAAUAUAUUAUCUGUGUUUGCUUUACAACACUGUCAAAUGUAUGAAAUGAUUAACAAAUGCAUCAUAAAUGUGA
rnacentral:lncRNA from 1 species